UACGAAGGGGCUAGCGUUGCUCGGAAUCACUGGGCGUAAAGCGCACGUAGGCGGAUUGCUAAGUCAGGGGUGAAAUCCUGGAGCUCAACUCCAGAACUGCCUUUGAUACUGGCGACCUUGAGUCCGGGAGAGGUGAGUGGAACUGCGAGUGUAGAGGUGAAAAUUCGUAGAUAUUCGCAAGAACACCAGUGGCGAAGGCGGCUCACUGGCCCGGUACUGACGCUGAGGUGCGAAAAGCGUGGGGAGCAAACAGGG
rnacentral:rRNA from 1 species